GAUGAACGCUGGCGGCGUGCCUAACACAUGCAAGUCGAACGAAGCACAUUGGAUUGAUUCUUCGGAAGAAAGAGAAUGUGACUGAGUGGCGGACGGGUGAGUAACGCGUGGGUAACCUGCCUCAUACAGGGGGAUAACAGUUAGAAAUGACUGCUAAUACCGCAUAAGACCACGGAGUCGCAUGACUCAGUGGGAAAAACUCCGGUGGUGUGAGAUGGACCCCGCGUUGGAUUAGCCAGUUGGCAGGGUAACGGCCUACCAAAGCGACGAU
rnacentral:rRNA from 1 species